AUUGAACGCUGGCGGAAUGCUUUACACAUGCAAGUCGAACGGUAGAGGGGGCAACCCCUUGAGAGUGGCGAACGGGUGAGUAAUAUAUCGGAACGUGCCCAGUCGUGGGGAUAACGUAGCGAAAGCUACGCUAAUACCGCAUACGAUCUAUGGAUGAAAGCGGGGGAUCGCAAGACCUCGCGCGAUUGGAGCGGCCGAUAUCAGAUUAGGUAGUUGGUGAGGUAAAGGCUCACCAAGCCGACGAUCUGUAGCUGGUCUGAGAGGACGACCAGCCACACUGGGACUGAGACACGGCCCAGACUCCUACGGGAGGCAGCAGUGGGGAAUUUGGACAAUGGGCGCAAGCCUGAUCCAGCAAUGCCGCGUGCAGGAUGAAGGCC
rnacentral:rRNA from 1 species